rnacentral:rRNA from 2 species
CAGUUAGAAAUGACUGCUAAUACCGUAUGAUGACUCCGGUCCAAAGAUUUAUCGCCUAGGGAUGAGCCCGCGUCGGAUUAGCUAGUUGGUGAGGUAAAGGCUCACCAAGGCGACGAUCCGUAGCUGGUCUGAGAGGAUGAUCAGCCACACUGGGACUGAGACACGGCCCAGACUCCUACGGGAGGCAGCAGUGGGGAAUAUUGGACAAUGGGCGAAAGCCUGAUCCAGCAAUGCCGCGUGAGUGAAGAAGGCCUUAGGGUUGUAAAGCUCUUUUACCCGGGAAGAUAAUGACUGUACCGGGAGAAUAAGCUCCGGCUAACUCCGUGCCAGCAGCCGCGGUAAUACGGAGGGAGCUAGCGUUGUUCGGAAUCACUGGGCGUAAAGCGCACGUAGGCGGCUUUGUAAGUUAGAGGUGAAAGCCCGGGGCUCAACUCCGGAACUGCCUUUAAGACUGCAUCGCUUGAAUCUGGGAGAGGUAAGUGGAAUUCCGAGUGUAGAGGUGAAAUUCGUAGAUAUUCGGAAGAACACCAGUGGCGAAGGCGGCUUACUGGACCAGAAUUGACGCUGAGGUGCGAAAGCGUGGGGAGCAA